AUGCAGCGCCUCGCCUCCUCCCGGAGGCUCCUCCGGGCCGCCCUCGCCCCCGGCCGGGCGCAUUCCAGCCUCUCCGCGGCCGCGGUCGCCGCCGCGCCGGAGAAUGGCGCCGGCGCCCCCAAGAUGCCGCCGUUCGCGUACACGCCGCCGCCCUACGACGGGCCGCGGGUGGCGGAGAUCGCCCAGAAGCGGGCCCAGUUCCUCAGCCCCUCGCUCUUCCACUUCUACGACCGCCCCUUGAACAUAGUCGAUGGAAAGAUGCAGUACCUGUUCGAUGAGGAUGGCCGCCGCUACCUGGACGCUUUCGGUGGCAUUGCGACCGUUUGUUGCGGGCACUGUCAUCCUGAUGUGAUCGAAGCCAUAGUCAACCAGGCAAAGAAGAUACAGCACUCCACAGUUCUGUAUCUGAAUCAUGCAAUUGCCGACUUUGCUGAGGCUCUGGCGGCCAAAAUGCCCGGUGAUCUGAAGGUUGUUUUCUUCACAAAUUCUGGCACGGAGGCAAAUGAGCUUGCACUGAUGAUCGCUCGGCUUUACACUGGUUCCCAUGACAUUAUUUCACUGAGGAAUGGAUACCAUGGGAAUGCAGCUGCAACAAUGGGUGCUACUGCUCAAGCCAACUGGAAAUUUAAUGUUGUCCAGACCGGAGUGCACCAUGCUCUUAAUCCAGACCCAUACAGAGGCGCUUUCGGGUCAGACGGAGAGAAAUAUGCCAGAGAUAUUCAGGAAACCAUUGACUAUGGGACUACAGGAAGAGUUGCAGGUUUCAUUUCAGAAGCCAUACAGGGAGUUGGUGGAAUAGUGGAAUUAGCACCAGGAUACCUGCCUGCGGCCUACGAUAUGGUAAGGAAAGCUGGUGGCCUCUGCAUCGCCGACGAAGUUCAGGCGGGGGUAGCGCGCACUGGGAGCCACUUCUGGGGAUUCGAAGGGCAGGGUGUCAUCCCUGAUAUAGUCACCAUGGCAAAGGGCAUAGGGAACGGAAUACCGAUAGGAGCGGUUGUUACCACACCUGAGAUCGCUAAGGUGUUAACCCGCAGGAGCUACUUCAACACCUUCGGUGGUAACCCUGUCAGCACAGCUGCCGGCCAUGCUGUUCUCAAGGUACUGGAGAAGGAGAAGCUGCAGGAGAAUGCGUUCGUUGUUGGCUCCUACCUGAAGGAGAAGCUUAACGCUCUGAAAGAGAAGCAUGACAUUAUCGGCGAUGUUAGGGGGAAAGGCCUCCUUCUCGGGGUUGAGCUGGUGACCGAUCGCCAGAAGAAAACUCCGGCGAAAGCUGAGAUCGCGCAGGUCAUGAACCACAUGAAAGAUAUGGGCGUGCUGGUGGGGAAGGGCGGUUUCUUCGGCAAUGUGUUCAGGGUGACGCCUCCGUUGUGCUUCUCCAAGGAGGACUCCGACUUCAUGAUCGAGGUGAUGGACAUCGCGCUGUCGAAGCUGUGA
rnacentral:rRNA from 1 species